UCUGUAUUCUCUCCCGCCCAUGCUCAUUCCGGCCGAACUCGCGGGUGCCGUCUCUCUCGCUCUCUCCCGCCCGUUCCGACUGCAUCUCCAUCAAUCCCGAUCUACAAGGAGGGAUAAGGGUGUCGGGUGGUUGACUCUGAUCGCCGGAAACCGCCGGCCACGGUGGCCGGCGGCGACUGGCAGUGCCACUCAAAUCUUGUCACGAAUGGGAAGGAGCUUCACUUCAGCAAGUUGGUGCUGUGUAUGAAUGGGAAGGAGCUUCAGAAACUUAUUUGUAAUCUUGUCACGAAUAAAAUGACAGUUUAUUUCAA